GCGGAGCCAGCCCCAGGCCGAGCGCGGGCCUCCAGCCGCCGCGGCGGCACGGCCAGAGGCCAGCGGGAGGAAAUGGAGCCGACCACAUCUGAGGCCUGGCGAAAGGAGCAGCAGCUGCCUCGGAGGCCGCCAGCACGCGAGAACCAGGAGACCCCCAACUCUGCCGCCCAUCCCCACACCUCCCUCCCUCGAUUUUGGUGAUGCUGCUGGAUCCUGGUCCUCCUCCGUCCCCUCCACAGAGCUGCUCUCCACCCUUCCAACCUCACCCUCUCAGCUCUCCUGGAAACCUCACCUACCCCAAGGCUCCACUGCUCAGCUGGCACGAAUAACCCAGAAGCGUCCUUUCUCCUGGACUGUACCACAAGCUCCCAGCCUGCUCUCCAACUAGCACACGUUUCUACUUGGAUGCGACUUCAAUCCAACACACUUAAAACCUAACUCGGCACCUGUCCUUUUCCAGCAACUCCUCCUCUGGACGUUCCUUUUUUCAAAAGCCACGUGAAGAGUCAUUCUCCUGGGUAUCCUGGCUCACACCUUCCGUCAGCUUUGACGCCCUCCUCUUUAUGUUUCCAUGUGCAAGCAGACCCUGGUCCUGUCAACGGCUCCUCUGCACAGUAUUGCAGAUCUGCCUUCUCUCAGUUUCCCGUCACUUACCUCUCACGGGGACAGCUGGAGGGGGCGCCCUGACUGGCCAGCCCAGCUUUCACCCCAGCACACCAAGCUGGGGAUCAGUCAAUGCACUGAGCCCUGCGGGAACCCCAGCCCCCAGCUCCCAGGCCAGGGCGCCUUCUAAUUCGCUACUUCAAUCUUCUCUUCUGGUUUAAGUGAUAACAGUAAACACGUAGGUAAACAAAUAGGCACUGGGGACACAGCAGUGAGGAAGCGGUCCCUGCCUCAUGGACAGAGACUUUUUAGAGGUUUGGAUUUGUCUUGUGUCCCAUUCAAAGAGCCAGGGGAACCCUGGUGGAUGACCAAAGAGAAUACAGGAAGGUCAUUAAGAAGAGAAUGAGAAGGAAGGUAAAGAACAGUU